GGGAUUCGAACGGCAGGCGGGAAGUGCUCUAGCAGGGGAGUCUGACCUUGUGAGGGAAUACCUGUGUCCCCCCUUUUUUCCCCUUUUUACCCAAUAAAACCCUGCCUUACUCACCCUUUAAAUCAUCUGCGAGCCUGAAUUUUCAUGGCCGUGGGACGGACAAGAACUUUAUCUUCAGCUGAACUAAGAAAAAGUCCUGCAACAUUUUUGGCGCGCAAUGUGGGGGCACCAGAAGCGGGCACCGUUGAGCUGUUGCAACUGUUCUGCUGGAGCCUUAUGUAUGUGGUUGAAACCACCUGUACUACUGGAAUGAAAGCACCUUUACAGAAGAGGCAAUGCAAGUUGUAUUCAUCACAUGUGUAGAAUGAAUUAAGAUUUAUGCCAGUUGCAAAGAAGAAUAUUGGCUCACUAUUUUUCCUCUGGGCAUACCAUAUGAUGUCCUGAAAAUUCUUCCACAAUAUUUAACCAACACUUUCCAGAAAAACUUCAUUUAUCUCCAUGUACCAAUAUUUUGGGGUCCAGCCCAAUUCCUGUCCCUUCAGUGAAGCCUUAUUUAAUUUUACCAAUAAAUAAUAGCUCUCUUUUUUGAA
ensembl:lncRNA MIR924HG MIR924 host gene